rnacentral:rRNA from 1 species
AUGCCUAGGGAACUGCCCAGUCGAGGGGGAUAACAGUUGGAAACGACUGCUAAUACCGCAUACGCCCUACGGGGGAAAAGAGGGGAUCUUCGGACCUUCUGCGAUUGGAUGUACCUAGGUGGGAUUAGCUAGUAGGUGAGGUAAUGGCUCACCUAGGCGACGAUCCCUAGCUGUUCUGAGAGGAUGAUCAGCCACACUGGGACUGAGACACGGCCCAGACUCCUACGGGAGGCAGCAGUGGGGAAUAUUGCACAAUGGGCGCAAGCCUGAUGCAGCCAUGCCGCGUGUGUGAAGAAGGCCUUCGGGUUGUAAAGCACUUUCAGCGAGGAGGAAA